GAUGAACGCUGGCGGCGUGCCUAAUACAUGCAAGUCGAGCGAACAGACGAGGAGCUUGCUCCUCUGACGUUAGCGGCGGACGGGUGAGUAACACGUGGAUAACCUACCUAUAAGACUGGGAUAACUUCGGGAAACCGGAGCUAAUACCGGAUAAUAUAUUGAACCGCAUGGUUCAAUAGUGAAAGACGGUUUUGCUGUCACUUAUAGAUGGAUCCGCGCCGCAUUAGAUAGUUGGUAAGGUAACGGCUUACCAAGGCAACGAUGCGUAGCCGACCUGAGAGGGUGAUAGGCCACACGGGAACUGAGACACGGUCAAGACUCCUAAGGGAGGCAGCAGUAGGGAAUCUUCCGCAAUGGGCGAAAGCAUGACGGAGCAACGCCGCGUGAGUGAUGAAGGUCUUCGGAUCGUAAAAAUCUGUUAUGAGGGAGGAACAAAUGUGUAAGUAACUAUGCACGGAUUGACGGUACCUAAUCAGAAAGCCACGGCUAACUACGUG
rnacentral:rRNA from 1 species